GCAGACUAGGUUGUCACAUGUCACUACAGAAAUGCUGCUUCUUUUUUUAACCCUGUUCACAAAUGUAUCCCAUGGCUUUGUGUGCUUUGUAGAGGAACUGUUUGCCAUGCUUUGUGUUACCUGGCUCUCCAGCUCCUGACCACCUCAGCAUUUCCCUUAUCUCAAACCUAGGACCAUAUCAAGGCAAAAAAACUUGGGACAGCACCAGGGCUUUCAUCUACUCACCUUUGUUCCACUUGUGUUCCCAGAGACUUCUCUGAGGGACCAGAAGCACUAAAUGGAGGUGGCUAUGCUGCCUGCCUGGGAGGCAGGGAGAUCUGGCUCAGGAAUAAGAUAUUUGAGCCUUCUAGCCAAGGAAACUUGCCACAGCAAUGAUGAUAUCAUGGAUGGAAUUUAUGGACUAUUGUGUAUUUAUCUCUUGUCAUUGCUAAGCAGUGCAAGCGAGCAAGCAAAACUCCCGUUAGCCAUAGCAUCUGUUCAGCUCUAGCGCAGAACUUCAAAAUUAGACCCUGUGUUUGCAAAUCCAGUGCCAUGGAAAAAGUGCCAUCUGGCCUAGAUCUGUUUCACAGUAAACUCGUUUAUUUUGUGAAACUGAGGAGACAGCCCAAAAAACUACAAGGCAUUUGCAGUGGUUGAUAUAGACACAAGAAUCAACCAUUCCUGUGCAAUUGGACAGUGCAAAACAAUGCACUUGAUCACAAUAUGGCUUCAGAAUAAUCUCAGCAAGAGCGAAGAUGAAGAAUCCCUGUUGGGCUUUUCUAAAGUUUUAGCAAGGUUGCUUGAAGAGGAGAUAGAUUUCCAUAGGCCAUAAUAAAAUAAGACAGGUGUCCUAAAUUAUCCUAAAACCACAGAAUCGAACUGUUUGCAAGAGCAAAUAAAGAGAGAAUAUUUCUGCAAAUAAAUGUCUUCAUUUUACUUUGCUUUGUGGUAGGAAAAGAAUUUUCAGGCAGCACAGAAGCAGUCUCUGAUCCAAAACCUCCUGGCAGCAUCAAAAAUCUGUCACAGUUGGUCAGUGAUUAGAUCCUGGUGAUAAGAACAGCAUCUAGAAUAUUGAAUUGCUAUCCUUUAUUUGAUGCUUUUGGAGGGACUUCAGACAUAUGCCAAGAGCCUCAAAAUAAUAAUUAUCUAAGCUACAGUUAUGAAAGAAGAUCAGAAACUUUAAAUGGUGGUCAACUCUUUGUCUGAAUUCUGCAUACAUUCGUGGCAAACCCCAGAGACAGUAUUCAAACAUACAGACCUAAAGACCAACAUUACAGGAGUGAAGAAAUAGUAUACCAAUUAUCAGUCACAAAGUAUUUCAAACUUGCUGGGUUUUUGACUGACAGUAGAGCAAUGCCUAAGGAAACAGCCUGGAAGCAACCCUGACACAAACUUGGCAUUUUUCAAGUGAGGUCCUGAGAGAUACCAAACACAGCUGUGCUGAGAGGAGAAAUUGUGCCUGGUCAUGCUCUUUGGAGUGGGACAAGCUGAGCUGUUCUGGGGACACGGUGGCUGUGCAGCCUCAUCCCAAGU